AUGUGCAGCCAAGAGGAAAGAGCUGGAGAACCAACACCUGCUGGUCCAACAGAGGGUGAGUCACAGAGACCAGGAAGUCACUUUCAUUCACAAAUACUGACAUGUUUGGUAUCCACGUGUAGCAGGGAAGGCUGUGACCGAGAUGAUGCGCAGCUAAAGACGGGAGAAAUAAACACAGCCCUAUGUGCAGACAAAGGGACUAAACUUUACCAACAUCUGCACUUUAGUCGCUCCAUAAGACUCCACACUUUACAGACUCCGCACUUUACAGACUCCGCACUUUACAGACUCCACACUUUACAGACUCCGCACUUUACAGACUCCACACUUUACAGACUCCGCACUUUACAGACUCCGCACUUUACAGACUCCGCACUUUACAGACUCCACUCUUUACAGACUCCACACUUUACAGACUCCACACUUUACAGACUCACACUUUACAGACUCCACACUUUACAGACUCCGCACUUACAGACUCCACACUUUACAGACUCCGCACUUACAGACUCCACACUUUACAGACUCCGCACUUUACAGACUCCGCACUUUACAGACUCCACACUUUACAGACUCCACACUUUACAGACUCACACUUUACAGACUCCACACUUUACAGACUCCACACUUUACAGACUCCACACUUUACAGACUCCGCACUUUACAGACUCCACACUUUACAGACUCCGCACUUUACAGACUCCACACUUUACAGACUCCGCACUUUACAGACUCCGCACUUUACAGACUCCGCACUUUACAGACUCACACUUACAGACUCCCACUUUACAGACUCCCACUUUACAGACUCCACACUUUACAGACUCCACACUUUACAGACUCCACACUUUACAGACUCCGCACAUCUUUACAGACCCCACUUUACAGACUCCACACUUUACAGACUCCACACUUUACAGACUCCGCACUUUACAGACUCCGCACUUUACAGACUCCACACUUUACAGACUCCACACUUUACAGACUCCGCACUUUACAGACUCCACACUUUACAGACUCCACACUUUACAGACUCCGCACUUUACAGACUCCACACUUUACAGACUCCACACUUUACAGACCCUUACGACCCACACUUUACAGACUCCACACUUUACAGACUCCACACUUUACACCCCACUUUACAGACUCCCACUUUACAGACUCCACACUUUACAGACUCCGCACUUUACAGACUCCACACAACCCGCACUUUACAGACUCCGCACUUACAGACUCCACACUUUACAGACUCCACACUUUACAGACUCCCACCAGACUCCACACUUUACGACUCCACACUUUACAGGCGAGACUACAUUCAACUUGGAAGAUUUUUACACACAAGGAUUUUUCUAG
rnacentral:lncRNA from 1 species